rnacentral:rRNA from 1 species
UACGUAGGAUGCAAGCGUUAUCCGGAUUUAUUGGGCGUAAAGCGCGCGCAGGCGGCGCUCAGCAGUGGCGCGUGGAAUCUCCCGGCUUACCUGGGAGGGGCCGCGCCAGACGGGGGUGCUUGAGGCAGGCAGAGGAUCGCAGAACGGGCGGAGUAGGGGUGAAAUCCGUAGAGACCGUCCGGAAUACCAGUGGCGAAGGCGGCGGUCUAGGCCUGUCCUGACGCUCAUGCGCGAAAGCGUGGGGAGCGAACGGAAUUAGAUACUCCGGUAGUCCACGCCCUAAACGAUGGCAACUCGGUGUCGGAGGUAUCGACCCCCCCGGCGCCUCAGCUAACGCGGUAAGUUGCCCGCCUGGGGACUACGGCCGCAAGGCUAAA